rnacentral:rRNA from 1 species
CCCUUAGAUGUUCUGGGCCGCACGCGUGCUACACUGAGUGGAUCAGCGGGUCAGGUUGCGCGAAAGCGUUUCCUAAUCUUUAAAUCCGCUCGUGAUGGGGAUUGACGGUUGCAAUUUUCUGUCAUGAACGAGGAAUUCCUAGUAAGCGCGAGUCAUCAGCUCGCGCUGAUUACGUCCCUGCCCUUUGUACACACCGCCCGUCGCUACUACCGAUUGAAUGGUUUAGUGAGGCCUUCUGACUGGCGCCGCUACUCUGGCAACAGAACGGCGGAUGCCGGGAAGUUGGUCAAACUUGAUCAUUUAGAGGAAGUAAAAGUCGUAACA